GAAGAGGUGGGAUCGAAAUCCAACAAGUAAUUGGAAUGAGCGGCAGAAGCUGAGUGAGAUGAAAUGCGUAGCGCCAGUGCCAGUUGCAACUGAUAGCUCUCCUCUGUUUGUUUAGCCCAGCUCUUGAAAGAACCUUCUUCUUUUUCUACUUCUUCAUUCACUUCUUCGUUGUGCAUCCUCGUCCUCUCAGAUUCAGAUUCACGUUCACGGUGACCACAGCCGUACAUUUCCUAUCGCAGUCUUCACUAACUUCUACGCAUACACCCAACUUUCCUCUUCAGACUACUGCUUCCUUUCUCUUUAUCCCUUUCAUUUUUCCUUUUUUUUUUUUUUGCCAAACGUAUGGGUCCGCUUCUUAUUAAAAGAAAUGAUUUUUUUUAUAAUUUCUUGGCGUCAUGUGAAGUUUCAC
rnacentral:lncRNA from 1 species